CUGCUGCCUCCCGUAGGAGUCUGGUCCGUGUCUCAGUACCAGUGUGGGGGACCUUCCUCUCAGAACCCCUACGCAUCGUCGCCUUGGUGGGCCGUUACCCCGCCAACAAGCUAAUGCGACGCAUGACCAUCCGUAGCCGGAAUCGCUUCCUUUAAACCCACAGAGGUGCCUCCAUGGGUUGUUACGCGGUAUUAGACGGAAUUUCUUCCGCUUAUCCCCCUGCUACGGGCAGGUUUCAUACGUGUUACUCACCCGUGCGCCGGUCGCCGGCGGG
rnacentral:rRNA from 1 species